rnacentral:rRNA from 1 species
CACCAGGUCAGGACACGGUAAGGAUUGACGGACUGAAGGCUCUUUCUCGAUUCCGUGGAAAGUGGUGCAUGGGCCGUUUUUGGUUGGUGGAUCGAUCCGUCUGGUUAAUUCCGUUAACGAACGAGACCUCGGCACUCCGAAUAGCGCGGCGGACGUCGCGGCCUCCGGGCCGUCUUCCGCACGAGCUUCUUAGAGGGGACCGUCCCCCCGCCGGGGAAGGAGGUGCGAGGCAACGACAGGUCUGUGAUGCCCUUAGAUGUUCUGGGCCGCACGCGCAUUACACUGACGCGUCCAACGGGUGACUCCCGACCCGAAGGGGCCGGGGAAUCCGCAAGGCGCGUCGUGAUGGGGAUUGAACGUUGCAAUUGUUGUUCACGAACGAGGAAUUCCUAGUAGGCGCGGGGUCAUCAACCCGCGCCGAUUACGUCCCUGCCCUUUGUACACACCGCC